UACGUAGGCAGCGAGCGUUGUUCGGAGUUACUGGGCGUAAAGGGUGUGUAGGCGGUUUUCUAAGGUUGGGGUGAAAUCUCCCGGCUCAACCGGGAGGGUGCGCCGAAAACUGGGAGACUAGAGUGCGGGAUGGGAGAGUAGAAUUCCUGGUGUAGCGGUGAAAUGCGUAGAUAUCAGGAGGAAUACCGGUGGUGUAGACGGCUCUCUGGACCGCCACUGACGCUGAGACACGAAAGCGUGGGUAGCAAACAGG
rnacentral:rRNA from 1 species